rnacentral:rRNA from 1 species
UACGUAGGGGGCAAGCGUUGUCCGGAUUUAUUGGGCGUAAAGAGCGUGUAGGCGGCUAGGUAGGUCCGUUGUGAAAACUCGAGGCUCAACCUCGAGACGCCGAUGGAAACCAUCUAGCUAGAGUCCGGAAGAGGAGAGUGGAAUUCCUGGUGUAGCGGUGAAAUGCGCGGAUAUCAGGAAGAACACCCGUGGCUAAGGCGGCUCUCUAGUACGGUACUGACGCUGAGACGCGAAAGCGUGGGGAGCGAACAGG